rnacentral:rRNA from 1 species
GUCCACGCCUAACGAUGUCGACUAGGUGUUGGGAAGGAGACUUCCUUAGUACCGCAGCUAACGCGUGAAGUCGACCGCCUGGGAGUACGGUCGCAAGAUUAAACUCAAGGAAUUGACGGGACCCGCACAAGCGGUGGAUGAUGUGGAUUAAUUCGAUGCAACGCGAAACCUUACCUACCCUUGACAUGUACGGAAGCCCGAUGAGAGUUGGGUGUGCCCCGAAAGGGAGCCGUAACACAGGUGCUGCAUGGCUGUCGU